AACGAACGCUGGCGGCAUGCCUAAUACAUGCAAGUCGAACGAUCACUUCGGUGGUAGUGGCGCACGGGUGCGUAACGCGUGGGAAUCUGCCCUUGGGUUCGGAAUAACGUCGGGAAACUGACGCUAAUACCGGAUGAUGACGUAAGUCCAAAGAUUUAUCGCCCAGGGAUGAGCCCGCGUAGGAUUAGCUAGUUGGUGGGGUAAAGGCCUACCAAGGCGACGAUCCUUAGCUGGUCUGAGAGGAUGAUCAGCCACACUGAGACUGAGACACGGCACAGACUCCUACGGGAGGCAGCAGUAGGGAAUAUUGGACAAUGGGGGCAAACCUGAUCCAGCAAUGCCGCGUGAGUGAUGAAGGCCUUAGGGUUGUAAAGCUCUUUUACCCGGGAUGAUAAUGACAGUACCGGGAGAAUAAGCCCCGGCUAACUCCGUGCCAGCCGCCGCAGUAA
rnacentral:rRNA from 1 species